GCGCCCGUGGUCUAAUGGAUAAGGCGUCUGACUUCUACUUAAGCGAUUGUGGGUUCGAGUUCCACCGGCCGUG
rnacentral:tRNA from 1 species